rnacentral:rRNA from 1 species
UACGUAGGGUCCGAGCGUUGUCCGGAAUUAUUGGGCGUAAAGGGCUCGUAGGCGGUCUGUUGCGUCGGGAGUGAAAACUUACAGCUUAACUGUGAGCGUGCUUUCGAUACGGGCAGACUUGAGGUAUUCAGGGGAGAACGGAAUUCCUGGUGUAGCGGUGAAAUGCGCAGAUAUCAGGAGGAACACCGGUGGCGAAGGCGGUUCUCUGGGAAUAUCCUGACGCUGAGGAGCGAAAGUGUGGGGAGCGAACAGA